CUCGCUGAAAACACCGGUUCUCGUUCGAUCACCGAAGUUAAGCAUCGUAGAGCCAGGUCAGUACUUAGAUGGGGGACCGCUUGGGAACACCUGGUACUGUAAG